UACGUAGGGUGCGAGCGUUAAUCGGAAUUACUGGGCGUAAAGCGUGCGCAGGCGGUUCGUUGUGUCGGCGGUGAAAGCCCCGGGCUUAACCUGGGAAUGGCCGUCGAAACUGGCGAACUGGAGUGUGGCAGAGGGGGGUGGAAUUCCGCGUGUAGCAGUGAAAUGCGUAGAUAUGCGGAGGAACACCGAUGGCGAGGGCAAUCCCCUGGGCCUGCACUGACGCUCAUGCACGAAAGCGUGGGGAGCAAACAGG
rnacentral:rRNA from 1 species